UGCUUGCUAGGUCCGUAAAUCUCAGUAAAAGCUACAAUAAAAUGUCCGCUCCUAGAUUGAAAUACUUAUCUGUGUUACAAACUGGUGCUGAAAAAUGUACAUUAUCAGAAAAUAAUCCUUAAACGUGUUUUAAAGUUACACCGAAUCAAUUAAAUCCAAAACAUGCACUUCUGGUGAACUGUGAUCAAAAUGUCAAUUUCCUACAAUGACAAAAGAAAUUACAUUGUGUACAUUGUGUACAUUCCAUCUCUAUAGAUUUUGUCUGUUCAACGUCCCACCUAAAAAGAAAUAAAAAGACUAAGUUUUCUUAUUAUAUACCCGCGUCACGUGAUAUCUCCUCAAUCUGGCGCGCGCGCUGGACCUAAAAUAAAAGAAAAACUUUCCAAACUAAACAUGAAACUUCUCCGGUAACACAAUACUAUAGACCCCUUACAGAAACAAACAAACAAACAAACAAACAAACAAACAAACAAACAAACAAACAAACCCCCCCCCAACAUCAAUCAAUUGUUUUCAAACGGGGAAGACCGUUUACAAUUGCUUUUUAAAAGCAAUUGAUUUAUAUUUUUAUUUUUUUUUUUUCCGCCAACUUUUUUUCCUUCGCGUUUUUGUUUGUUUCGCAAGAUGUCGCUUAGAU
rnacentral:lncRNA from 1 species